rnacentral:rRNA from 1 species
UGCCAGACUCCUACGGGAGGCAGCAGUGGGGGAUAUUGCACAAUGGGGGAAACCCUGAUGCAGCGACGCCGCGUGAAGGAUGAAGUAUUUCGGUAUGUAAACUUCUAUCAGCAGGGAAGAAAAUGACGGUACCUGACUAAGAAGCCCCGGCUAACUACGUGCCAGCAGCCGCGGUAAUACGUAGGGGGCAAGCGUUAUCCGGAAUUACUGGGUGUAAAGGGAGCGCAGACGGCAGUGCAAGUCUGGAGUGAAAGCCCGUGGCUUAACUACGGGACUGCUUUGGAAACUGUGCAGCUAGAGUGCAGGAGAGGCAGGCGGAAUUCCUAGUGUAGCGGUGAAAUGCGUAGAUAUUAGGAGGAACACCGGUGGCGAAGGCGGCCUGCUGGACUGUAACUGACGUUGAGGCUCGAAAGCGUGGGGAGCAAACAGGAUUAGAUACCCGUGUA